UGUUACGGUCCGCCAUUUUUUACCUCGGGAAGCGUGUGAUUUCGUGUCGUGUUUUAUCGCGUUGUUUUACGGAAAUACUGACUUGGUUCUAGAACGAGCCGAAAAUGCCGGGUUUUAGUAGCGUUGGCACGUUUAAAAUCUUCAUCGGUAAUCUUGCCGACAAGACGUCAAAUGCCGAUAUUAAACCGUUGUUUGAAAAAUACGGGAAGGUCGUAGAGUGCGACGUGGUCAAAAACUAUGGAUUCGUGCAUAUGGAGAACGAAGAGGCUGGAAGGAACGCAAUACAGAACCUGAACGGACAUAUAGUCCACGGGCAGCCGAUCAAAUGCGAGGCUGCGAAGAGUCGCAAGGGACCGAACACUCCGACAACUAAAAUAUUUGUCGGCAAUCUUACAGAUAACACCAAAGCGCCGCAAGUGCGCGAACUUUUCGCCAAGUACGGCACAGUUGUAGAGUGUGAUAUCGUGAGGAAUUACGGAUUCGUUCAUCUGGAAGCAACAGGUGACGUCAAUGACGCCAUCAAGGAGUUGAAUGGACAGAUGGUGGAUGGCCAACCUAUGAAGGUUCAAAUCUCCACCAGCAGAGUACGACAGAGGCCAGGAAUGGGUGAUCCUGAGCAAUGCUAUCGAUGCGGUCGCGGGGGUCACUGGUCCAAGGAAUGCCCCAAGGGAGGAAUGGGAGGAGGACCGGAUAGGAACGGAUACAGAGAACGAAUGUUUGGACGCGACCCGUAUCCUCCACCGCCGCCACCACCGUUCCUUCGGGACCGGCUAAUGGGUGGUGGCCGCUUUGGAGAUUACGAAAGCUACUAUGACAGGAGGGGCUUCGAGGACACCAGGGAUCUCUACGAGAGGCGGUUUACGGGUAUGGGAUCCAUGCGUGACACUGGCUUCUCCCGUGGUAACGAGUACGGAAUGUUCAGCCGCCGAUCACCCCCUCCGAGUGGCAACAACGGCCGGUUCAGUGCACCUCAGGCUGCGUACCAUCUUUGUCCAUGAAUGCGGGCAACCCUAGAGAGACAGUCCCGGGCCAACGUACAAGUCGUGCAAGAACCGGGAUUACGAGGGCCAUCGCCGUCGCGCCGGUUCGCACCAUACUAA
rnacentral:misc_RNA from 1 species